UAAGGAAUAUUGGACAAUGGAGGCAACUCUGAUCCAGCCAUGCCGCGUGCAGGAAGAAGGCGCUACGCGUUGUAAACUGCUUUUGUACCAGAGAAAAUCAUUGUACGUGUACGAUGUUGAUAGUAUGGUAAGAAUAAGCAUCGGCUAACUUCGUGCCAGCAGCCGCGGUAAUACGAAGGAUGCAAGCGUUAUCCGGAUUUAUUGGGUUUAAAGGGAGCGUAGGCGGUCUUAUAAGUCAGUGGUGAAAUCUCGUUGCUUAACAACGAACGUGCCAUUGAUACUGUAGGACUUGAGUACAGUUGCCGUUGGCGGAAUGUGUCAUGUAGCGGUGAAAUGCAUAGAUAUGACACAGAACACCGAUUGCGAAGGCAGCUGACGAAACUGUAACUGACGCUGAGGCUCGAAAGCGUGGGGAUCAAACAGGAUUAGAUACCCCCGUAGUCC
rnacentral:rRNA from 1 species